rfam:Oribacterium sp. oral taxon 078 str. F0262 genomic scaffold Scfld5, whole genome shotgun sequence.
GCCGGCAUGGCGGAACAGGCAGACGCACAGGACUUAAAAUCCUGCGGGACUUAAUCCCAUACCGGUUCGAUCCCGGUUGCCGGCA